rnacentral:tRNA from 1 species
AAUGAAGUGUCUGACAAAAAGAAUUAUUUUGAUAGAAUAAAAAAUGUAAAAAAAAUUACCUUCAUUA